UCUCUGGUCAACUAGGUUUGUUUAUGGCGCCUUGUCUGUUGUGUGUCUCACUGUUGGUCUCAGUCUCAUUAUGGGUCAAAAUCCGUCCACUUCAUGUUCGUUUUGUAAACCCCUUAAAUGUUUUUUGUCUAACUUUAAAGAGUUUUCAAAGAGAAUAACUAAUGAUAAAACAUCAUGUAAUGCUUCCUCUCUCAGAAAACUUUGUGAAUUAGACUGGUCAGGCUUUAAGUCGGAUGGCCCCCAGAAGGGAUUACCGGCCUCUCCACCGCCUAUCAAGUUCAUAGAGUCAUCUCCGGGUGGCCUGGCCAUCCAGAUCAGUUGCCCUAUAUACAGAUUUGGAUUGAAAUCCUCCUAGAAGAGCCAAGAUGGUUAAGAUUUUGCCUUACAGGAACAGCUAAAAAACCAAAACCAAAACUUGUCUUGCUAACAAAACCUUCCUCCCUGAAGAAGAGUCCAACAAGAGAGCUCCUAGGACCUGGAUCUUCCUCCUCUGGAUCCCUCUGUUCCUCAGGUAUGGAGGUGACUGAUCAGUACGCCAGGCUCCACUGAGAGAGAUCAAAGCAGCCAGUAGAAACCCCACCAAUUUGGCAAAGGUUGCGGGGAAGCUACUAUCCUGAUCCCCUGUCAAUCAGCCUAAAACACGCCAUUGCUGCCUGUCCAGAAACCUGAGACAAAAGACUACGGACUGGAACAGGACCUAAAAGAAGUCAACAGGAUGGAAAGCAUUCAUCCCAUAGUACCAAAUCCCUACACUCUUCUCAGUUCAUUGCCUCCUUUUCGCCAAGUGUACACUUUCCUGGAUCUCAGAGAUGCCUUCUUCAACUUGCCAUCAGCUAAGCUAAGCCAACCAAUUUUUACUUCUAAAUAGUCAGAUCCAGACGGGAGAUUUUUAGGACAAUUGACUUGGACACAGUUGCCAUAAGGAUUUAAAAACUCUCCAACUCUAUUUGAUGAGUCCCUAAGCUGGGACCUCACAGCUUACAGGCAGCAACACCCUGAGACUGAACUUUUACAAUAUGUAAAUGAUCUCCUGACAGCAACCCAAACUAUGACUAAAUGUGAACAGGCCACCAACAACUUGUUAAAAACCUUAGGGUACCGGGUGUCAGCUAGAAAGGCCCAAUUGUGCACCUCAACAGCCACCUACUUGGGCUACCACCUGAAAGAAGGAAAAAGGAUUCUGUCGCAGGACAGAAUUAAAGCAAUCAUGCAGAUUCCUCGCCCCAAGACUAAGUGUCAGGUACGAGAAUUCCUCGGGGCCAUUAGGUAUUGCCACCUUUAGAUCCUUGGUUUUGCUGAACUAGCCCAGCCCUUGUAUGUUAGUACAGGGGGGAAAAAGGACUCUCUGACUUGGACUGAAAAAACAAAAACAAACAAACAGACAAACAAAAACAAGAGACAUUUGACAAACUGAAGCAAGCCCUAGUCUCUGCUCCUGCAUUGGACCUCUCAGAUGUUCUGAAGCCAUUUCAGCUGUUUGUACAUGAAAUCAGGGGAAUAGCCAAAGGAUGCAAACUCAGACUUUGGGGCCAUGGAAACAUCUAUCCAAAAGACUGGACUAUGUUGGGGCAGGAUGGCCAAACUGCCUCUGAGCCAUCGCUGCCACAGCAAUCCUGGUUAAGGAGGCAGAUAAGCUUACGUUGGGGCAAGAUUUAUAGGUGGUAGCUCCACAUGUGGAAAUCUUACUCUGGAGCCCUCCAGAGCACUGGCUCUCCAACGCUCGUACCACCCCACACCAGGCCCUUCUUCCAGACCAGCCCAGAAAAAAAUUCCUAAAAACUUCAGCUUUUCACCCUCAUCCUGAUGAUGAUCCCUCUAGGCCACUGCACGACUGCCAGGAAAUCUUGGAGUUGACUCCAGAAUGUCCAGUGGGACCUGAUGGACACACCGUGGCCAGACCCAGAUGAGACAUGCUACUCUGAUGGCAAUAGCUACGUCCAAAAUGGAAUCAGUCCUCACAGGCUCUCCAGCAAGCCUCCCACAGACUCAGGCUUUAACAAAGAGUCCGGCAGCUAGCUGCAGGAGAGAACUUCACUCACCUAUUCCAGCCGAGCCAUUAUCCAUUCACCUUGGAACCUCGCGGGCACAGACCCUUUCCAGCCAUCCUGACCACUUCUACUGCUGUAAAAGUCACUGGAAAACAACAUUGGAUUCAUCACUCCCAAAUCAAGAAGCCAGCUCCAACAGAAGAUACAGCCGAGGACAACCGACGAUGAACAGUACCCUAGAUUUUUACUUUCUGUUUUUGUUUCCCUUUCAGACAUGCACACUGCACACAGCGGUACUUGGAAAUUCUUGAGGCCAGAAAAAGACAGGAAGCCUGCUUCUAAAGAUUAGACUGCUGGUCCUUGAAAAAUAUGAUUAUGACAUGGUCAACUUAGAUAACACGAAACUUAAAUAAACAAUGAUUUGAUUUAGUCUCAUAAAACCAGUGGGGAAUGUUGUGGUGUGAACUGAUAAGUACAAUCAAUAAGAGUGUAAGUUAUAGGUUCUAGAUUAGUAAAAAAUAUAGAUUAGAGAUAUAAGAUUUUGUUAAGUGAGAUAAGACAAUUAUUAAGCAAGAGCUGUCAUAGACAGCCCUAAGACUCCAUUGUGCUGCCUUCUAUAAAACACUGUUACAAGAGCUGUUUCUGAGAAACUGAAAUAAAGGCUGUUUUCUUAUAAUGUAUUGUUUUCUGUACUUAGUACCCUACAAAAUGUAUUCAACCCAGGAUAUAGUGGCCUUGGUGAUCCAAGACUUUGCACUAGAUUCUCGCCCCCUACUAACCACCUGCUUAAACUCAGGAUAUGGUUGUCUAACACUUGCUCAAGUCCAAGAUGCGAUUGUCUUGAGUUGCUGUGCUAAUUGCUAUCUUAGCUUCUAUGAUUGACUUGCUUGCAUGAUGCUAAGGAAAGUCCCUGAGCUGUGGUUUUUGUCCUUAAAUUCCCAAGCCACAGGCUAGGAAAUUGCUGUUCUCUUACAUAGUUUCAAUCUCUAUGGGUGGGUGACAGUCCCUGGCCAGGUAAAUAAAGAUCUCUUUGAUUUGAAUUCGGACUUAGAGUGUUUUCUGAGGCAGCUCUCCAUAACACUAAGCUUGAUGUAAUGGUGUAAACAAUACAGUUUCACUUUGUCUUUUAAAAAUGCUGCAUAAAUAAAAUCAAACUACAUGCA